UGUGGGUUCCGCUAGGAUGAAAAUUGUUAUAUAAAGGCUAGAUUGUAAUACUGCUGUACUUACAGGGAUGGCGAAGUGGUGUGAGGCAGGAGACCGGAUUUAGGUUCGAGCGCACAAUCCAAAACGCAAUAUAAUUGUAACCGGGGACAAGCGUAAGUCAAAGGUCUAUAAAGUCCCAGGGGAAAGUAUGAAGUGGAGUAGAGACGGCAGUCCAGUGUCAAAGCCAGAGAAGUCCAUCGCAGUACAGAGGCAAUCCAGGAGCACAGUGAGAAAGCAAGCACAGUUGGAGCAUGAACAGGAACAUUUUCAAAGGCUGAUAACAUUGCAAGAGAGCGGCAGAGCAGAAGAAAGGCUUCUCUUUUGUUGGAGAGAGAAGAGGGGUGCUUUCACUGCAGAGAGAUACAGAUCUGACUUUCUCCGUUAUCACAUUAAUUAUUUUCAUCAAUAAAAGAACAGGGUCUGCUAAGAUGUAAUUGACCUGACUGAAAAGAGAUGAUGGCAGAUUUUGGAUGAGACUGCUGUCCGAAUGAAAAACGACG